UCCCCGUAAUAUACAUAAUAUACUGGUCUUGUAAACCAGAAACGGAGGGACACCCUCCCUGGGAC
ensembl:Mt_tRNA